AUUCAUCCGAUGAGUCCCAAAUAGGACGAAACAUGUAUCUCGGAAU
rnacentral:hammerhead_ribozyme from 1 species